UGAGGAAUUUUGCGCAAUGGGAGCAAUCCUGACGCAGCAACGCCGCGUGGGUGAAGAAGGCCUUCGGGUCGUAAAGCCCUGUCAGGUGGAAGAAGGGUCCUAACAGGAAAGGGGUGGGAUUUGACGGUACCACCCGAGGAAGCACCGGCUAACUCCGUUCCAGCAGCCCCGGUAAUACGGAGGGGGGGAGCGGUUUUCGGGAUUAAUGGGCGUAAAGCGCGUGGAGGCGGGGGAGCAAGGCUGAUGUGAAAGCCCCGGGCUUAACCCGGGAAGUGCAUUGGAAACUGUUUUUCUUGAGUACUGGAGAGGAAGGGGGAAUUCCCGGUGUAGAGGUGAAAUUCGUAGAGAUCGGGAGGAAUACCAGUGGCGAAGGCGCCCUUCUGGACGGUUACUGACGCUGAGACGCGAAAGCGUGGGGAGCAAACAG
rnacentral:rRNA from 1 species